rnacentral:misc_RNA from 1 species
GAUGAAGAACGUAGCGAAAUGCGAUACGUAAUGUGAAUUGCAGAAUUCAGUGAAUCAUCGAAUCUUUGAACGCAUAUUGCGCUCUUUGGUAUUCCGAAGAGCAUGCUUGUUUGAGUAUCAGUAAACACCUCAACCUCUUCUUGAUUUUUCAAAAGGAGGGUGGACUUGAGCUAUCCCAACAACCUUUACCGGUCGGCGGGCGGCUUGAAAUGCAGGUGCAGCUGGACUUUUAUCUGAGCUAAAAGCAUAUCUAUUUAGUCCUCGUCAAACAGGAUUAUUACUUUUGCUGCAGCUAACAUAAAGGAUAAUUGUCCUCUUUGCUGACUGAUGCAGGAUUUUACGACACUUUAUGUGUUGUUCAACUCGAUCUCAAAUCAAGUAAGACCACCCGCUGAACUUAAGCAUAUCAAUAAGCGGAGGA